CACUCAGUGUUGCCUGAAGGAAUCAAAGGCUGGAUACACACAAAGUGCACACCGAACUGUAGGUUAAGAUGUGGAAGGACUACACAUGUGGCUUCUGUGAGAACCUUCUACGAGGGUUAUAGCUGCAGCUUGAGCAGGAGGAGUGUCCACCCAUCCUUGACUCCCUGGGGAUGAGGUCCCACAUUCCUGAGCGCACAGGACAUGGAGAAGACACUGCUUUGUCAGUGUUUGAAAUUUUUGCUGCACCAUUCUUCAACAGCAAAAGCUCACUCUGGGAGUCAGAUCCAAAGAUGAAGAGGCCGUGGCAAGAAGCCUGGAACUAGAGACUCCUGUUACCACAUGGAUACUGAAUGCUCUCUCUUUGUGAGAGAGUCCCAUCCCUGUGAAGUUUCACCCUGUGCAAAGAUGCCAAUAAAUGGCAUCUUGAGCAAA